rnacentral:lncRNA from 1 species
CAAUCGAUUGUUAGACAUAGACAAUCGAUUGUGGAUGAUUUUUGAAAAAUUCCAGAUUACAUCGUCUAACGACAAUCGAUUGUUAGACAUAGACAAUCAAUUGUAGAUGAUUUUUGAAAAAUUCCAGAUUACACUGUCUAACGACAAUCGAUUGGUAGACAUAGACAAUCGAUUGUGGAUGAUUUUUGAAAAAUUCCAGAUUACACUGUCUAACGACAAUCGAUUGUU